UUGACUACCAUUCAUCAGCCAUGACCCCCAAGUGCCAUCUCUGGGCUUAAGUAGGAGGCAACCUCUGGCCUACACAGACUGGCAGGGUGCCGUCCCUGGCUGCAGGGCUGCUCUUCGGCAGUCUAGCCGGCCUGGGUGCUUACCAGCUGUAUCAGGAUCCAAGGAACGUUUGGGGUUUCCUAGCCGCUACAUCUGUUACUUUUGUUGGUGUUAUGGGAAUGAGAUCCUACUACUAUGGAAAAUUCAUGCCUGUAGGUUUAAUUGCAGGUGCCAGUUUGCUGAUGGCCGCCAAAGUUGGAGUUCGUAUGUUGAUGACAUCUGAUUAGCAGAAGUCAUGUUCCAGCUUGGACUCAUGAAGGAUUAAAAAUCUGCAUCUUCCACUAUUUUCAAUGUAUUAAGAGAAAUAAGUGCAGCAUUUUUGCAUCUGACAUUUUACCUAAAAAAAAAAGACACCAAAUUUGGCGGAGGGGUGGAAAAUCAGUUGUUACCAUUAUAACCCUACAG
rnacentral:sRNA from 1 species